AUCAAUGAGGCCCCCUUCCCCUUAUGAUGUUGUACAAAAGCUCUAGAGGUUAUAAAAAAGCUUCACAAGGAUCACACGAGAUAAAGACUUACAAGUUGAAAUUAGAGAAUCUUCAAACUCUGAAAGAUGCGGCUCAUAAGCUCCGGGAUAGUAUAUCCCAGGAGCAGGAAAAAAGUGAAUCCCUAAAAGCACAGAUUAAGGAACUGGAGAGGAACAUUCAAGGUGUAGAGGACAAAAUCUUACAUACAGAAUUACUUUGAAGGAAUUGCAGAAACUCUUAAGACCAGAUUUCAACGAGUACUACUGCGAGAAGCACUUUAUUUAAGCUGCAACAGACACAAUAUGCUGCCCUUGCUGAGGAAAAUGAAGGUCGGCUAAGAAACCUGACCUUUACAUAUUGAACAUAUACAAACAUGUGAUUGUUGUACAAAGAUACUGAUGAUAAGUUAAAAGAAUGGCAAAGCAAAUUUGAAGAAAGGAUCGCAUUACUACAGUCUAAAAUUAGUAAGCUGGAAAGAGAGAUGAAUGAUGAAGAAACCAGAAGUUCCACAUUUUCACAGACAAUUAAUGAGUCCAUGCGAGAGAUCGGGAAACUUCAAGCAGAAGCUGAUGCUCACAUAUCUUCGAGGCAUGAACGUGAUUCAAGGAUACAAAAGAUUAUUGGUAAGCAUAACCUUGGGUUUCUUCCUGAUGCCCCUUUCAGCGAAGACGUGGCUGCCAGCCUCACAAAUAGAAUUAAAACAAGAUUGUUAGAUCUUGAUAAGGACUUGCAUGACAAAAAGGUACAUUUAGUCUUAAAUAUAAUUUUCAUCUAAAUAUUUUCGGCAGUGUAUACAACUGUACUGCCAAUGCAAUCUAGUCAUUGAUAGCUCAUGAUACUUAUUAAUUUCCUUUUGAAGUGCCUGUCACAGUGCUUCUUUUGCUUUCUAUCUCGUAAAAUCAGUGUUACCCAGACAUAGGACAUGAGUGAGAUGUGGUCAAGAAGUUGAAAGGGAAGUAAGUAUGUUUAUGUAUACAGAUUACAAGAAGUGAAAUGGUUCUCCACAGAUGCUUAUCCUUUUGUUUGCUUAACGGUUUUGAUAUGCAUGGUUACGUUUGAGUUUUAACAAUUACAAUGUGAAUUUAUUUGAUAUAUCUUCCUAAUCUAGUGUAUUUUACUCACCGAGCCUAUGUUUUUUUGGUUUAUUACUGGUAGAUGAAUAUGCAAAAUGACAUUUUAGUUUCUCUUUGGGUGCUUAUUUGUUUUGAUAGUAACAGUUACAUGUUACAAUCUGGGUAGAUGUUUGCAUGUGAUGUUUGUAUGUAUUUUUUACACUUGCGUAGGGGCCGCCAUGCAUCCAAACUUACUGAGGAAGAAGAUGAAGAAUAUCUCGAGGAAGAAGAUGGUUUGGCUGGUACGGGAGGGACUCGUCCUUCUGCAACCAUCUUGCAAGUGCUACUCUGUCUACAGGGGAAGAUGAGAGACUAUCAACUUGCUGGAUUAAAUUGGUUAAUACGAUUAAAUGAAAAUGACAUCAAUGGCAUUCUAGUUGAUGAGAUGGUAAGUCAUGAUACAUGCUUAAAAUAUAGGUUAGUUAAUUGGUUCGCUUAAGGCUUGUUAAGGAUCCAUUGCAUAUCUUUCAAUAUCAUUUUAUGGUUUCCUUUGCCUAAAAAUUAUAUAGGGUCCUAUACUAGUUUUGGUUAAGGCCUGUUAAGGAGUUGGUAAAUUGUGAGGCUAAUUGUUCUUUCAGCUGCAUAUUUUUUUCAAUAACAUAUUUUGUGGAUAUAAGUAUGGCCGUAUUGAUGGGAAUACGGGUGGGGAAGAUCGUGAUGCUUCGAUUGAAGCCUUCAAUCAACCAGGAAGUGAAAAAUUCAUUUUCUUGCUUUCAACAAGAGCAGGGGGGCUGGGGAUUAACCUUGCCACUGCCGAUGUGGUUAUUCUUUAUGAUAGUGAUUGGUAGACAUGUUUUUCUGUAUUUUUUUUGGUCGUUUUACUAUUUAGCACAGUUCUCAAUAUGAUGUCCUAUUGUUAUUAAGCUCAGGAAUCCGCAAGUUGAUCCGCAAGCCCAAGAUUAUUUACAUAGAAUUGAUCAAAAGAAAGAAGUUAAGUGUUCCGGUUUUGCACUGAGGUUUAGCUUUACUAAAUGAAGUUUACUGACUCUUCUUAUGUUAAUGUGAAAUCUCUUGUAAGUUACUGUCAUUUUCCCCUUGAUACCGCAGUACACCAUUGAGGAAAAAGUUAUUGACAGGGCAUAUAAGAAGCUUGCUUUUGAUGCUUUAGUUAUUCAACAAGGCAGAUUGGCCGAGCAAAAGAGGAUUUGGAUGGGGUAUUGUCGGUGGAGGAGAGGAGGAUGGAGCAGAGGGAAGAGGAGGUUCUGCACGCUGGCAGUCUCCGAGUUCCUCGAAGGCCGCCAUGGAAUGCUAGCAUGUCACUAGAGGAGUUUGAUGCUAACGAGAGGCAGGAGUUCUUAGUUUAGCGCAGAAAUCUCGCAAAGCUCGAGGAGAAUGACAAACUUGUCCUUACUCCUUUUGAAAAGAAUCUGGACAUAUGGAGACAGCUUUGGCGAGUACUUGAACGAAGUGAUCUGUUGGUGAUGGUUGUCGAUGCUCGAGAUCCAUUAUUUUACCGAUGUCCUGAUCUUGAGGCAUAUGCACAAGAAAUUGAUGAGCAAAAGAAAACUUUGCUUCUUGUUAACAAGGCAGAUCUAUUGCCAUUCACUGUGAGGUUCCUAUCAAGAAUUUUAUUUUCGGUAGAUAUGAAGAUAGCUUUGAUGAGUACUUGAACGAAGUAUGCAGAACCAGUUUCUGAAUGGUUGUUUGUGUAGGCCUGGUUGUUAAUACCCCCAAAUGCUAGUUCAGUUUUGCGGGGAGGAAUAGGGAGGACAUGCAGUAUGGAGCUGAGGCUAUGUUGCAGGGUCACAUGAGAUUUGGGCGAGGUUCGGAUAUGGAGAUGCUUCAAGGGGUUACUUCUGUGUCCAAUGUGCCUUUGCUUACCAAUGGUGAAAUGGAAUUCGGAUACCACUGUUAUGAAGGAAAAAUAAAAACCUUGGAACGACAAUAUACACUUUUCCCUUGCAGGAAGAGUUACCUGAUAAGUUUCCCAGUAUCCUCAAGGUUGCAUCAGAAAGUAGUUCACCUGUAAGAUUAGGUGGUGGCAAUGCUGUUUUAAAUGGAGCUCAGACUGCUUGGGAUAUUCUGUCCGAGGAACAAGCUCUGAAACACACAAGUACCAGUUGUGAAGAUCUAGAUGGCAUGCUUGGAGGUGGUAUUCAUUGCAAAGAAGUUACUGAAGUUGGUCAAAGUUGUAUUUCAGUAAAUCACUUUCAUGCAGCACGAGUCAAUGUGGACAGGGGAAUAGGAAUAUGAGGCAAAAGGAAGAAUUAUGCACCAGAUGAGGCAGAGAAGCAUAACAGACGGGAUCAAGCAACGAAUUUGAUCAAGCAAAUUGUGUUUCUUUUUUUUUCCUUUAUGGAUUACAAGCAAACUGGAAUAUUUAAACAGGCCUUUGAGUGUUGACUUGGAAAUGGAAACGAAUGUAACUAAUUUGUAAUGGGAGUAAAUUCUUUGUUUAUCAUAAUAUGCAACAUGUUUGGAGUAUAAUUUGAUAUUUGGUUUCUUUGUUGA